UGACGGUACCCUACUAGAAAGGAGCCGCUAACUUCGUGCCAGAAGCGUCGGUAAUACGGGGGCUCCAAGCGUUAUCCGGUGUUAUUGGGCGUAAAGAGUCGUGUAGGUGGUUGGGUAAGUUAUCUUUCAAAUAUCUUUGCUUAACAAAGAGGAGGGGGAUAAUACUGCUCGACUAGAAUUUUCUCAAGGGAGAUCGGAACUGAGGGAGGAGUAGUGAAAUGCGUUGAUACCCUCGGGAACACCAGUGGCGUAGGCGGAUCUCUGGGAGAAGAUUGACACUGAGACACGAAAGCUAGGGGAGCGAAGCAGAUUAGAGACCUGCGUAGUCCUAGCCGUAAACGCAUGCUUGCUAGCUGCAUGAAUCUACCUUCGGGUGGUAUCGUGUGGCGAAGGUAACCCGUUAAGCAAGCCGCCUGGAAAGUACGGCCGCAAGGCUGAAAUUCAAAGGAAUUGGCGGGGAGGCACACAACCAGUGGAACAUGUGGUUUAAUUCGAGACUAACCGAAGAACCUCACCAGGGUUUGACAUGUAGCUGCACGUCUUAAGAAAUUAAGACUCUCUUGAAGGUGCUACACAGGUGCUGCAUGGCUGUCGUCAGCUCGUUCCGUGAGGAGUGCCCUUAAGUGGGACAACGAGCGCAACCCCUAUUACAUGUUAGAAAUGUCAUGUAAGACUGCCUUGCCAUUUGGCGGGGAGGAAGGAGGGGCAGACGUCAAGUCCGCAUGGUCCUUAUGCCCUGGGCUACACACAUGUUACAAUGAGUACGGCAAUGAGUCUGUCGCGAGCACGUAAGUGUAAGCUAAUCUCUUAAAUGUACUCUCAGUGGGGAUUGAGGUCUGCAACUCGACCUCAUGAACACGGAAUUGGUAGUAAUCGCGGGUCAGCUAUACCGCNGGUGAUACGUUCUUGCCUCUUGCACACACCGCCCGUCAAACCAGCAAAGUCGAUUGUAUCCGAACCU
rnacentral:rRNA from 1 species